GCUUACUAAUAUAGGCUAUAUCUAAUACAAUUGCAAUACAAUGAAGUGUUUGUGUAUCUAAAGAUGUCUAAACAUAGAAAAGGUAUGGGCAGCUACAAAUUUUCAGCUCCAUUAUAAUGUUAUGGAACAUUUGUUGUAUGUGUGUUAUUGUUACAUGUAAUUUAAAAUUAAUUUAUUUUUCUUGUGUAAUAAUAAUAAUAAUAAUAAUUUAUUUUUAAUUAGCUUUCUUUUAUCAAGAAAGUCAAAAUAAGUCAAAUAAAGAACCUGUUCAAUUUGUAAACAAUAUUCAACUAGGAGAAAUAACACCUUCCCAAAAAAUAAAAACUUGUAUAUUUAUGAAAACAAGUGAAGUGGGCAUAAGAAAUGUUAUGUUUAAGAAAUUCAUAAUUGCUGAAAUUUAUGGUGAAAAUGCAUUAUUGCAAAACAGAUCACAGUAUGGUGUUCUCAAUAUAAAGAUGGACACAUGUUUGCAAGAUCAAGAAAGAAGUGGGAAGCCAAAAACGUCACAGAACAGUGAAUGUGUGGAAGAAAUGUUACAGAAUGAUUGAAGGUUAAAAUAUGGAAGUUGUCAAAGAUCCAUAGAAUUGGUCAUAAAGUUCUUAGAUACCAAAAACAAUGUGCACAUUGGGUUCCA